rnacentral:rRNA from 1 species
AACGGUGAAAGAGAGCUUGCUCUCUGGAUCAGUGGCGAACGGGUGAGUAACACGUGAGCAAUCUGCCCUUGACUCUGGGAUAAGCGCUGGAAACGGCGUCUAAUACUGGAUACGAGCUGCGAAGGCAUCUUCAGCAGCUGGAAAGAACUUCGGUCAAGGAUGAGCUCGCGGCCUAUCAGCUUGUUGGUGAGGUAAUGGCUCACCAAGGCGUCGACGGGUAGCCGGCCUGAGAGGGUGACCGGCCACACUGGGACUGAGACACGGCCCAGACUCCUACGGGAGGCAGCAGUGGGGAAUAUUGCACAAUGGGCGCAAGCCUGAUGCAGCAACGCCGCGUGAGGGACGACGGCCUUCGGGUUGUAAACCUCUUUUAGCANGGAAGAAGCGAAAGUGACGGUACCUGCAGAAAAAGCACCGGCUAACUACGUGCCAGCAGCCGCGGUAAUACGUAGGGUGCAAGCGUUAUCCGGAAUUAUUGGGCGUAAAGAGCUCGUAGGCGGUUUGUCACGUCUGCUGUGAAAACUGGAGGCUCAACCUCCAGC